GGUUGCAUGUAGUGAAAGCAGGGAAGUAUUUGUAUGGAAGGACUGGGUAAAUGGAGUCCUCAGUCAACGUUGUAGCCGAGAACUCCACGCAAGACAAGACAGAGACUUCCUUUGGAACUUGUCAUUUGGUGCUUCUGUCAGUGUGUCCACUGUCGUGUCAUCAGCUUCUCAAAGGAUGCCUGGGGUCUGUGGAGAAGUCCCUUAGGGAAGUCUUCAUUCUGAAGAAUUAAAACGUCCCCGGAUUCUUCUUCUUGCCUUUGAUUGCUUUGCAGAACUUUGCUGUUGUACAAGGAAUAUUUAUAUGUUGGACCAUCUUCAAUAUGGCAGAGACUAUAGCAAAUCGAGUGAUAGAAAUAUGAAUAAUAUAAGUAUAUGAUGCCUGCUCUGGAAAAGCUCUUGCUGUUAUGGGAUAAGAUGCAAUAAUGUACAGCACACAUCAUGGUCCUUUGCUCAAUCAGGACCCUAAGGAGAUCAUCAAGUGACCUCAGCCAGAUGUCCUAACAACAGUAAGAUGAUAAGUAGGCAUGGUUUAUUUUUAUUGUUAUUUAAUUUUUGUCUGUAUUUUCUUGAAGUUUUCUUGAUUUCCAGCAUAUCAGAUGUACAGCAAAAUGAUUCAGUUAUCAACAUAAAUAUAUAUGUGUAUAUAUUCAUAUAUUUUCAGAUUAUUUUCCAUCAUAGGUUAUUACAAGGUAGUGAAUAUAGUUUCCUGUGCUAUAUAGUAGUCCUUAUUGUUUAUUUUACAUAUAGUAGUGUGGAUAUGUUAAUCCCAAACUCUCACCAUUAACCCUCCUCCCCUCCCCCUUUCCCCUUUGGUAAUUUUAAGUUUGUUUUCUAUGCUUGUGAGUCUAUUUCUGUUUUGUAAGUUCAUUGGUAUCAUUUUUUCAGAGUCCACAUAUACAUGAUAUGAUGAUAUCUGUCUUUCUUUGUCUGACUUACCAUUAAAUUUGUGGUGGUUUGCUAUGCAGCAAUAGAAAACUAGAAAUUUCACCACAUGUACGUAUUACCUCUCUCCCUCUGUGUGUGAGAGAGAGAGAGAGAGACAGAAAGAGAAAAAGGACAAAGUGAGUGUGUGUAUGUGUGUGUGUAUGCACACACACGUGCGUGUAUCUAUACCAAGGAGAUUAGCUGGAUUUAGAAUCACAUUGAUUUUUAAUAGAAACCACAGAUAAAAAUCUGAGUUUAUCUCAUGGAUACACAGCAAGCAGCCUCUGCUUCCACAGCUAGUGAGGUAUGAGAAACUGAUACAAUAAACACAAGAUUCUUAAAUAAAGCAUGAUUGAAAAAAAUAUGUAUAUGUUUAAGGACCCCACGAUUUUUGUUUCUCUAAAUAUGAUCUUCUUCAGUUUUCCUCAGUGGAUGUUUAUUGAGUUGCCAUUCUUUUAAGAUCACUCCAUGCAGUAACUCGUGUAGCCCUCACAAUAGCCCUAUGAGGUAGAUAGGCAUUUUCAUCAUCUCCAGUUUACAGAUAACUCACUCCAGGAUAACAGAUAACUUACACAGUGGGGCAGUCUGCUUCUGGAGUGCUGGCUUUUACUACAAUGCUCUAUCUUGCACCAUAAAAGUGGAGUCCUACUGUUUUUUUCCCUCAUACCUCAAACCCAAUCCCUUAGAAUGUCCUAAUGGCUUUAUUUCCCAUGCAUAUCCCACUCAAUUCUGUUGUCUCAUCUGGACCAUUGGAAUAGCCCCCUCACUGCUCUCCCUGCUUCUGAACCCUUGGUCCCUCUGGUCCUUGGUCCACAAGAUUGCUGGAUUAUCACACUUCUCUCUUCUGCGUAACCACCCACCCCAUGGCUGUAACUACACUUAGAAUAUUUUUUUCUUUUUUAAUUAAAGCAUAGUUGAUUUACAAUGUUGUGUCAAUUUCAGCUAUACAGCAAAGUGACUCAGUUAUAUAUGUGUAUGUACAUAUACAUGUCUAUACAUACAUAUAUUCUUUGACAAAAUGUCCUACUGUAUAGCAUAGGAAACUAUAUACAGUCUACUAGGACAGACCAUGAUGGGAAAUAACAUAAAAUAGAAUAAAGGUUUUACAAUAGGUUUCAGGGAACACUUGGUAGUAUCUGUAGAUAUUUUUCUUGUUAUGGCUUGGAGGGUGAAAGUGCUACUGGCAUCUGGUGAGUUGGAACCAUGGAUGCUACUAAACAUUCAUGGGAUAUCACCCCAAAAUAAUCAUCCAGCUCACAGUGUCAGCAGAGCUGAGGUGAGAACCCCUGUUCCACAUGGAACAAUGCAGCAAAUUCAAAGCUUAGAGUAUCAUACCCUUUCAAACCCCAGGGCUGAAGAGUUUCUGGGCUCCCCUCAAACGACCUUGGGGACACAGCCUCCUGCUAGCUGGGGAACUCAUAAACUACACCUUCUCUAGCAUGGACCAGGGGGCUCUUUCUGGCAGUGGAGACCUUUGCUCUGAACCGAGAUUGAAAUCCUGAGAUUCAGCAAGUGGUGAAUUGAAUUUUGAAGAAUGAUGGGUAAGGAGAGGAACAUUCUUCAAAAACAGCAAAAAGGAAUGGCUAUUGCUGCUUUGACCUCAGGAAGACCUGCUUUUCUCUGUCUUCCCAUGGUUCCUGAUCACUGCUUAGAUUAAUUUAGCGUCCUCAUCCGUACUGAAAUAUUAAUAACUAACAUGGUAAAGCCUUUAUACAAUGACUGAUUUUUAGUAACAUUCUUUAUCAUAAAAUAAAAGCUUAAUAUAAAAAAGAUGGGCAGAUAAUGUUUUAAAAGUUAAAAAUCUAAAAGAAGAGGGAAAAAGAAGUUAUAAUUCCACUACACAGAAAUAACUGCUGAUAAUAGUUUGGCAGGUGUGCAUGUUUGUGUGUAUAAAGGUAACAGUGUAACAUGAACGUUCUCUCAUAUGGAUAAAAUUUUGAAAACCGUGGCAUACUAUUCCAUCUUAUGGCAAUGUUGUUGCUUUUAAGAUUCUUCCAAGUUUUCAUCACUGACUUUGAUGACAUCCACAUCGCUGAUCAGUUGUGAGAAUAAAAGGAGAGAGCAUUUACUCAAAAGACAUGAAUGAGGUAUUUUCUAUGUACCAAACAUUGUGCUAGGUACUUUAAGAGAUGCAUAAAACAUGAUUUUUUUUCUUUUUUUUAAAGUUUUGUUGAAGUAUAGUUGAUUUACAAGGUGGUGAUGAUUUCUGCUGUACAACAAAGUGAUUCAGUCACACAUGUGUACACAUCCACAGUUUUCAAGAUGAAGCAAAUAGCAGUGAGUGUGGGCAGAGAGAAAAUGAGAAGUUGGUACCCGCUGCCAAGGAGGGCCCUGGGAAUCACCUGCUUCGGUGGUGAACAUAGCAAUGAGACCAUCUGUGGGGUCCUCCCUCUAAUCCAGAAACUUCUUCUCUCACUAAACCCCACUCCCUGCCCAUCCAAAGGUUGUGUGGGCCUCUAAAUCCUUGCACUGAACACUAUCCUACUUGGGUUUUGUACAGUCUUCUAGUGAUGUCAUGAUAAAUGACCAUAGACUGGGUAACUUACAUGACAGAUUUAUUUCUCACAGUUCUGGAAGCUGGGAAGUUCAAGAUCAAUGACUCAGUCAAUUUGGUUCCAAUGAGAUCUUUCCUUCUAGCUUUCAGGCGGCCACCUUCAAUACCAUCAUGAGGGCUCCACCCUCAUGACUUCAUCAAUGCUUAAUUGCUUCCCAAAGACCCCACCACCAAAAUCAUCACUUUGGGAGUUAGGGCUUGAACAUGUAAUUUGGCGGAGGGGGCACAAUUCAGUGCAUAAGCACAGUGUAUUUCUUUUGGGGUCAGUAAAAUCUUAGUUUUAUCAUAUACAAAAAUGCAUUCACGCUCAGUGGAGACAAUACGCUAUCAAUUUAGUGUCUUUGUUCCCUUUAUCACCUCAUUUAUUGAUAUGGGUCAUGCUAUAUGUGUUAAAUGGAAUAUGUUACGCUUUAACAUUAAUUUACAUGUUUAUGCCACAACAUUUACGAUUUCCUGUUCUACGCUGGUGGCUGUGGCUAGCGGCAGAGAGUAAAUGGUAAAAUGUAACCAAUCCAGAUCUGGGAUCUGACCUUACAGAGCUCAGCGGCGACUGUAAAUUGAAGUUCUUUUCCAAAUUCCCCUAUCAUGCAAAUGCUCUAGUGUAUAUUAUUUACAUCUAACUCUGCACACAACUGGCAUCUUUAAGACUCUUGUGUGCAUGUGUAUCAACAAGCUAGCAUGCACCUUCUAGUUUCUGUCAUGCACUGACGGUCUGUUAAAAUGGUUAAGACAGUCGCUUCCUGGGGAAUGGGAUCCCUGUCACGGGAGUCUUUAUACUCCCUGCACUUUUCACACGCAGUCCAAUGCAUAAUAGACAUUCCAUCAUGUUGACUGAGUAAGUGAUGCCCCCUUUGGUUGUCAUAAUAAGCAUCUGAGGAAGGUUCUGAUAUUCCUGACUCAGUAAGAUCGGGCUGCCGUAACAAAGUACCAUAGACUGGGUGGUCUAAACACAAGAGAGUCUUUCUCUCACAGUUCUGGAGACGGAGGUGACAGCAUGGUCUUCUUCUUCUUCUUUUUUUUUUUUUUUUUGGUCUUUGUGGGCCACACCUGAGGCACAUGGCGGGAUCCGAGCUGCAUCUGUGACCUACAAUACAGCUCACGGCAACACCAGAUCCUUAAGCCACUGAGCAAGGCCAGGGAUCGAACCUGUGUCCUCAUGGAUACUAGUCAGAUUCGUUUCUGCUGAGCCAUGACAGGAACUCCUUAUUCUUCUGAUGAAGGCCCUCUUCCUGGUUUUUGCCUUUAGCCAUCUUCUCACUGUGUCCUCCCAUGGCAGAGAAGGAGGCAGGAGGAGCUCUGGUGUACUGGGCACUGAUGCUAUUGGAUGGGAGAUCUACUCUUAUGACCUUAUUUAAUCUGAAGUAGUUCAGCAAAGGCCUUACCUUCAGAUAUAAUCACAUAGAGAGUUAAGCCUUCAACGGAGGAAUCUGGGGAGGACACAAACAUUCAGUCCAUAGCAAUUCCCAUUUUACAGAUAGGAAAUCUAGAUGUGACAGGAUGUCACCUGUGCUUUGUCCCGAGGCUGACUCCCUCUGAUUGGUAGUGGCUGCAGGAAUCCUGGGAGGGGCAGGAUCCUGGAGGCAUACCUGGGCUCACAAAAGAGCUGACUGGGCAUGGAUGGGGAAGCAUGUGUGUGUGUGAGCAUGAAGCAAGAACCAUCCACGUGUGCACAAAAUUGCCAUCACUAUGCUUGGCA
rnacentral:lncRNA from 1 species